AUUUCUCAACCUGGGUUUGCGGUGAUAUUAAAAGAAAGUCACAAAACAAUAAUAAAAUCAUUAUAAACUUAUAAACAGUUUAAUGUAUUAAACUGUAUAGAAAUUAAUGUAUUUAGGAGGAAACUCCACCACAUGCAUUUUGUCAAAUAAAUCAAAAUUUAAACAAAGGCGUGAUGGGUUCUGAUGUAUUUUUAUGUUAUAAGAAAUCAAUGAACAGAUCUGAUUUGAUUUGUUUUAAACUGGGCAUUUGAAUGUUUCUUAUACAUUUGGGCCAUUCAUCAUCCUGCCAGUGGUUAUAUUCAAGCAAUUAAUGAUCUUGUAAUGCCAUUUAUUGUUGUCUUUUUACAUGAAGUUGUUUCUCCAGGUAAUAAAUAAAUAUUAUCUAAUAUAUUAAGAACUAAUUCAGGAGCAUAGUUAAGUGAAAUUGGAUCAGUUUAUAUCUGAUUCUGUUUAAAUGGUCCACAGAUUGAUGACUUUGAGGAUCACUGGUCUAGAUCACUGGUAGAUAUCUGCAUCAAAACUUCUUAUUUAUGUAAAGAAAAAUAUAACAUUUUGCUAGAAAAAAAUGUAAAUUCUGUAGAUUUACAGUAUCAACAUUUUCACUUUUCCUGCUAGGACUUUUUUAGUGUUUAAGUCUAUAAUUAGUUAUUUGUUAAUGUUUAUCCUCUAGCAAAGCUAACAGUUACAAAACAGAAUAUUGUAUAUUCCUAUAAUGUAUAAGCUCUAUUACAUUUGUGACUUAUCUAAAACAACUGCUUUGAAAUUGUCAGACAAUAAAAUUUAAUCAGUUUUGUAAAGAAAUUCAUAAUCAAGUAAAGGUAUCAAUGAUAAAUAUUAUGAUGAAACAAUCAUCCAUCAUUUAUCAAUUCGAUAACUAUAUUCAAUAACUGUAAUUCUAGUUUAAUUGCAAGGUGCUUAAAGUAUAGAACUGCACUAGAUUCAUUACCUACUCCAUUAUUAGAACAAUAGCAUCUAUGACCACAUAAUUUUUAUUUCAAAUAUAAAUUUUAGAAAUUUAACAUUCAUACUGAAGAAAAAAUAAAAAUGAGUAACAAAGACA